AUUGAACGCUGGCGGCAGGCCUAACACAUGCAAGUCGAACGAGUGGCGGACGGGUGAGUAAUGUCUGGGAAACUGCCUGAUGGAGGGGGAUAACUACUGGAAACGGUAGCUAAUACCGCAUACCAUCAGAUGUUCCCAGAUGGGAUUAGCUAGUUGGUGGGGUAACUGCUCACCAAGGCGACGAUCCAUAGCUGGUCUGAGAGGAUGACCAGCCACACUGGAACUGAGACACGGUCCAGACUCCUACGGGAGGCAGCAGUGGGGAAUAUUGCGCAAUGGGCGAAAGCCUGAUGCAGCCAUGCCGCGUGUGUGAAGAAGGCCUUCGGGUUGUAAAGUACUUUCAGCGGGGAAGCGGUACCCGAAGAAGAAGCACCGGCUAACUCCGUGCCAGCAGCCGCGGUAAUAC
rnacentral:rRNA from 1 species